rnacentral:lncRNA from 1 species
AGUUUGCAAACCGAGAGGAGUUGUGAAGGGCGCGGGUGGGGGGCGCUGCCGGCCUCGUGGAUACACUGGCAGUGAUGUCUGUGGACCUGGGCAGUGAGUCCAUGAAGGUGGCCAUUGUCAAACCUGGAGUGCCCAUGGAAAUUGUCUUGAAUAAGUGAGGGUGGCCCCCGUGUUAAGGGUGGGGAACGAGGGAGUCUGGGCUCCAAGUGUGAAUGUGUUAGUCAUAGUGCCCACAGCAGACUUCGGCAUCUGAGUGGUUAAAUGUGUGUGAGUGUCGAGGCUUCUGAGUCCUUCUGCUGCAGGCACCUGGGCCCAAAAUCUCUUUUCCUCAGGGAAUCUCGGAGGAAAACACCGGUGAUCGUGACCCUGAAAGAAAAUGAAAGAUUCUUUGGAGACAGUGCAGCAAGCAUGGCGAUUAAGAAUCCAAAGGCUACGCUACGUUACUUCCAGCACCUCCUGGGGAAGCAGGCAGAUAACCCCCAUGUAGCUCUUUACCAGGCCCGCUUCCCGGAGCACGAGCUGACUUUCGACCCACAGAGGCAGACUGUG